rnacentral:rRNA from 4 species
ACGGGUGAGUAACACGUGGGUGAUCUGCCCUGCACUUCGGGAUAAGCCUGGGAAACUGGGUCUAAUACCGGAUAUGACCUCCUAUCGCAUGGUGGGUGGUGGAAAGAUUUAUCGGUGCAGGAUGGGCCCGCGGCCUAUCAGCUUGUUGGUGGGGUAAUGGCCUACCAAGGCGACGACGGGUAGCCGACCUGAGAGGGUGACCGGCCACACUGGGACUGAGACACGGCCCAGACUCCUACGGGAGGCAGCAGUGGGGAAUAUUGCACAAUGGGCGAAAGCCUGAUGCAGCGACGCCGCGUGAGGGAUGACGGCCUUCGGGUUGUAAACCUCUUUCAGCAGGGACGAAGCGCAAGUGACGGUACCUGCAGAAGAAGCACCGGCUAACUACGUGCCAGCAGCCGCGGUAAUACGUAGGGUGCAAGCGUUGUCCGGAAUUACUGGGCGUAAAGAGUUCGUAGGCGGUUUGUCGCGUCGUUUGUGAAAACCAGCAGCUCAACUGCUGGCUUGCAGGCGAUACGGGCAGACUUGAGUACUGCAGGGGAGACUGGAAUUCCUGGUGUAGCGGUGAAAUGCGCAGA